GCAGUUGGUGCCUCCUAUUGGUGGCAGUUCCUUCUCCAGGAUCCUGUAAACCAGAGGCUAUGUCAGGAGCUAAGGACAUGAUGGCCAAGAAGAACUAUGCACAGGACAAACAAGCAGGAGACAGGGUUCUGGGAGAGAAGGUGAGCUCACUUCUGCAGAUGACUCUACUCACUGGCCACACCAUGCUCUAUAAACACCCUGCACCAUCUGUGAUGUCAGCUGCCAGCUGCCUGGAGAAUCUGCCCUGCUCUGGGAGCUUGUAUUAAAACACUCACUUAUAACUCCCUAUUAAUUUUUCACGAGGAGUUAUUUUUAACUUGCUCAAACCAUUGUCUGAAUAUGCCAAAUAUAUUUUCUUAAUGAACGAG
rnacentral:lncRNA from 1 species